ensembl:lncRNA
UGCUGCCAAAUUUCAUCCUGCCUGCAUAAACUUUCCCCUGCUAAUUUGAAGUUUAGCCUUUCUGUCUUGCGAUUCUCCCACCAAAAGACAAGCCUUCUGUGCAAAGCUAUCCCAGUUUUCCUGUCUUAGGAGGAGGAUGGUUGGUGACAGCAGGAUAGGAAACCACUAAUCUUAUCUACAGAGGCCUGCUUCUAUUUUCCUGGCUUGCUAUAUCUGUUUUUGCAAGCUCAGAAGGCACUUUUCCUCCCACUAUUUAAGGUGGUUCCCGAAAUUCCACUAAUUCAUUCAGCUAUUUAUUCAUUUCAUGAAUCUUUGAGCUCCAAUAAUAUGUCAGGCAAUAUCCCCCCAAAUCCUCCUGCCACUUCCCCCCAACUACCACACACACACACCCCUUUGACUCACCUCAGGUAAAGCAGAUAGGAGGCUGGAGGAAUACAUGCACUGUGCUGGGGUCUGCCACAUUACCACAGCCACCAGACCACAGGACAGAUCUCCACAACUUAAGAUGGUAGAACGGGGAUGUGGGUGUUGACUUCAGCCUUGAGAAAUUCGGGGUUGAAUCCCCUGAAAGAGUUCUUCAGGAAACCAAAGUGAUUUUACCAGAAUUCUUUACCUUCUGGACCCUGAAGGUGAUUAGGCAGUUGAGUAGGCUUGUCAAAAGAAAUAAAAGUUAUUAAGCAUAGCGAUGGGUUGGAGUUCCAGCUAAGAUUUAGGCAACAUGGCUUUAUGGUUAACGAGAUGGUUCUGGGAAUGGAUGACAAUUGCAGUUCAGCUCUAUCCUAUAAAAUCAGUUUUGUAAUCAAUAUUAGGAGAAUAUUAUCUGUGUCCUCCAUUAGCCCAAGCAGUGUGGUAUGUGGCCAUAACAGUAUCGGUUCUGUUUCUUCUCCCCUUUAAAUCAUACCUAAAUAUUUUCCUUGGGGUUCUAUCUUAGGCUAGUGGAUUUGCAAAAAAGUUUCUCUUUUCUUAGUGUACCAGUAUUAUGUUUUUUCCUCUUCUAUUAGAUCUUUUUCUUUUGAACAAUAACUAGCCCUUUAUUUCCGUAUUCUUGGAAGGAGUCCAUUAUAUUAUGCACCAAAUCUCACUGAUACCUGUGAGAUCAUACAUACCUCAGAAUAUUAAAAUAUUAGAUUGCCUUUUUAUUGCCUUUAAUUAUGACUACUCCUUGGGUUGUUAUAUAGCAGGAGUAGCAAACACCUGGUAAGCAACUCUAAUCUCUCCUCCCUGCACAAGGAAGGCAUUGCUAAUCAGACACAGCCCUCUGAACGUGGCGUCGGAAUAUUUCUCAACACAAGUUCAGGAAGCCUCUAUCAAGAUGAAGUGUAUUUGCUAUUCUUCGUAUAUUAAGCUAUGAAUCCUGUUCUUAGGGGUUAAUAUCAAGAAAAUUACUUUGGAGAUAGGUUUGAGCUAGUUUUUAAUUUAGAAGGGAUGAAAAGAAAGAAAGAGAAGAGCAAAUAGAGCAUUACUCAUAUAAAGCAAUGUUUUUCCGAGGAGAAUGCUUAUCGGAUUUAAUUUCCAUUCCGGCAGAUGGAUUCUAACGUUUAAACAGAAUCUCUUGGGUUUGAAGAGACCUCUUGUGGGUCAUUUAGCUUAUAUCUCAGUACUACCACAAGAUAGAUCUCAUUAUUUUCCUUAAAUCCUGUCUUAAAAAUAAAUGGGUGCCUAAUGAGUCUUUAAAUAGUGAUUUUACUACCUCCUCUGGAUGCAUGUGCCAUAACUUCUGUAUUCUAAUAGCUUCAUUGCUUCCGUAUUUUAAUAGCUACCAAUUAUUCUCUAAUAUUUAUCUAAAAUUUCCCUGUAGCAUCACAAGUCCAUUGCUGCAUCCUCUAUACUCACGCUGCCUUUAAGAUUUUAAAUGAAUCUAGCAGGCAGUCACAACCAGCAGCCAUUGAAUAAAAAACAUGAGCUAUGGAUGUUAUGCAUGAACUGGUCACCAUAACCCCUUUGGACUUAACAGUUGUUCCUGAACAGUUCCCAUUUUGAGCCCCAUCUCCCCUAACUCCAAAAGCUUGGAAGAUGAUUGGCAACCAUGCAUCUGGCCCUUUGGACUUAAUAUUGCUAUUUUGGGUCUUGGCUUUUCUCACUUGUUUGCUCCUCCAUUUCUCCAUUUGUUUGCUUCAACCAGGAACCCCUCCAGUGCUUCUCCCUAUUAUUCAACCCUGACACUCGCCUAGGGGUAAUUCAGACAAAUUCUUCUAGGCUCUAUUUAGAAUGUUGACAUUAGAGCAUGAUUAUGUCUAGACUGUGCAUGCCUGUCUAUUAAUUAGAGUCCUUAUCACCCAUAGAUGGAGUGGGAAGUUAUCUUCAUGGUAUGAUUUGAGUGGGUAGCCUCCAUAAUCAAAAAUUUCUUCCCUACUCAGGAGAAGUGCUGGAAAUUCAAUCACUAGAGAGCUUUUCUCUUGAUUAAUCAUAAGGCAAUCCAAGAUUCUCUUUUAAAAUGCUGAUGACCUAGAAGGGUUAACCCAUCAGGUCAAAAACUCUUUAGUAUGAAUUAGAUAUUUUUUAGCCCACUUUCUUCCGAAAUAGGUGAUAGUUGAGCAUAAGUAGUAUAAUAGAGUCCUUGGAAGACGCGGUCCU